rnacentral:tmRNA from 1 species
ACUCUUUCAAUUCGGCUAAACAGCUCCUAUAUAAGAGCUGCUGGCUUCGGCCAGCUAUGGCGAUAAACGGACGAUGUAAUAAGCUUAUUGGACCCGGGGGCGGUACCCGGCGCCUCCACCAGAACGCAGCAGGUUUGGCUGCUUUGUGGCGGGGGCGAAAUAGGAUCGACAAGAGUGUAAAGAUCGAACUUUUGCCCGGCAUUGUACCACCGUUAUCGGGCUAACCUAGUAGUUGCAAACGACAACUAUGCGGAAGCACGUCUCGCCGCUUAAUGCGGUGCGAUAGCUUCAAAUCAAGUCCUAGGGGUUCGCACUUCUAGGCGGGGUUCGGAGGCACCUGGCAACAGAAGCCUUCACU